ensembl:lncRNA
AUUGGUUCCUUACUAAUCAAACCGCGGCAAAGAAAUAAACGUCCAACAUGAUUGUUUUUUUUUUUGAAGAGAGAAGUUCAAUUCAGUUCAGUUCAGUUCAGUUCAAUUCAAUUCAGUUCGCUUUAAAUUGUAUAGCGCUUUUUUAUACAAGUGAGAUUGUCACAAAACAGAUUUACAGAAAUAUAUAAACUUCCAAUCUAAAUUUUAAAUUCAAUUUUAAAUUCAUCCCUAAUGAGCAGGCCAGAGGUGACGGUGGCAAGAAAAAAACCUCCCUGAGAUAUGAGGAAGAAACCUAGAGAGGAACCAGACUCAAAUGGGACCCAUCCUCAUCUGUGUAACAACAUCUUGGCUGAUGAGAUGAUGAGGAGCAGAUGCGUUUGCUGAUUCAAACAGGAGGGGGAGCAGAGUGGAGUGCCAUGCCCAGGGAGACACACAAACACACUCAAACAGGAGGAGAGGGAGAGACAAACACGGGUAACACAAGGAAGGGGGAAAAUAGAUAAACACAAGGAAGUGGAAAAAAACAGGAGCCUUGGCUGAAACCAUGACAAUCCCCCCUAUCAACAGGAGCCUGCAGAUGACCUGCCAGGCUUGUCAGGAUGGGCCUGAUGGAAAUCCUGGAUGAGAAAGGGGUCCAGGAGGGGUCCAGGGGUCCAGGAACGGGGCACCCAAGUCUGCUCCUCCGGUCCAUGCCCUGUCUGGGGUGGGUUGGGUGCGUUGGGUCUCCUUGACCACUGCCUCAAUGUCUCACAUAACUGUUCCUACCAUGCAGGAAUAAGGGAAGAUGUCAUGGCUCGUGGGGGCCUCUUCAGAGACAAAUUGGUGAGAGAGGGCAUAGGGCUUGACCUUCCUGGAUCUGGGGUGGUACGUGAUGGUGAAGUUGAAGUGACCAAAGAAUAGAGCCCAGCAUGCUUGACAUGAGUUCAGUGGUUAGUCCACAUGAUGGACUUAUGGUUAGUCCACACGAUGAAUGGCCCCCUUGGAGCCAGUAUCUCCAUUUCUCCAGAGCCAGCUUGACUGCAAGCAACUCAUGGUUCCCCACAUCGUAGUUGCUUUCAGCUGAGAACAGGUGGCGAGAGAAGACAGGACCCUUUUUCAUUUACACCAAUUUGCCAAUCUUCCAUUUGGGUUUUUCAGAGCCACAGCUACAUCUCAAUGUCCAAAUGACUGUGUGCUACAGCCCCACUGUGCAUAUGCCACUAUGGAUUUAGAUGACAUAAUAAUCCACAAUAUGAUUGCCAGUGGCAUCUGCAGCAUCUGAGGGCAGUUCUAAAAUUCUUUGACAUGAGCCAGCCUCACAACAAACCUGGCAAAUCUGUGAUUGGAUGGGCCAGGUUAUGCUAUCUGGGAUUUCACUUGUCAUAGACAGAUGUGUCCCCAAAUUAAUAAGACUGCUGUGAUUACAAUCUGAUCACAAACCAAGAUCAAAAAGGGAGUGAGAAAGUUCCUGGGGCUGGUGGGAUAUUAUCAUAAGCUUGUUCCUAAUUAUAUGUGGCAUGUGGGGGUGUGAUUUAGCAUGAGUCUGCAUUGGAAAGUAAGUGUUUGGGGGCAAGCUAGAGGGGUAAUGACUAAAGUGGCACACCUGAGCCCUUGAGCAGUGAGCUGAGCUGUGUUGCCAGCUGUGACGAGUGGAGCAUAGCCAAGUAGAAAGUAGUGAUCAAGCCGGAAAGCUGCAACAUUAUUUGUUUAGUAAAUGUUUUAGAUUAUUGUCUGACAACAAAUCAAAAAGUUCACAUGACAUCUUAACCUGGGCUUGAUGUGUUUUCUGAGUGACUUAUAUCACGGCAAACAAUCUUUCCAGCCUAAGUCAAAAAACUUCAGAGACAGAGGGUUAGUAGAUGUCAAAAAGUAAAUAAACUUUAUUGAAACUAUAAAGUGAGACAGUCUGCAGAAAGUCUAAAUUAUGAAAACACACACAUCCCUUUUUAUAACUUUCUCCACAGCAUACUCAUCUUAUCUGGGGUUUUGCCUUUCCUCAUUAAAAACAGACCAAUCUUCUUCGCCACAAUUAAUUAAUUAUUCAUUUCUAUAUGUUAUCUUAAGUUUGUGGAGCAUGCGCAGUUAGUUGUUUUUCUUGAAACGGUUUUAUGAGGAUAAGGUUUCUUUUUAAAAAAAAAAAAAAAAAAAAAAAAGGUUUCACUCAGUCAGACUCUUUGUUUUUUUUUUGUCUCCCGGACCUUGAAAAAAAC